GGCCUUAUGGUCUAGUCGUAUGAUUCUCCCUUUGGGUUUCCAUUCUUGGGAGAGGUCUCGGGUUCAAUUCCCGAUGAGGCCC